UACGUAGGGUGCAAGCGUUAAUCGGAAUUACUGGGCGUAAAGCGUGCGCAGGCGGUUUUGUAAGUCUGUCGUGAAAGCCCCGGGCUCAACCUGGGAAUUGCGAUGGAGACUGCAAGGCUUGAAUCUGGCAGAGGGGGGUAGAAUUCCACGUGUAGCAGGUGAAAUGCGUAGAGAUGUGGAGGAACACCGAUGGCGAAGGCAGCCCCCUGGGUCAAGAUUGACGCUCAUGCACGAAAGCGUGGGGGAGCAAACA
rnacentral:rRNA from 1 species